UACAAUCAUGUUCAAAUGAUGACCAUAAGCAUCACAUCUACCAGCCCCCAACUUUGCACUAUGUGACAUCAUCCUUCUGGUUGAACUAGCUGAAAGCUGUUAAGAGUAUGCCAGGUAUGACCAUGCCACCCAGGGAAGAAGGAAAAGGCCUACAAAGAAUUUAAAGCUAAUCUGAAUGCUUCCUUUAAAGCUUGUUCAGAUCUCUGUACAUUAUCAUAAACAAGAGCUCUCUCUAAACCUUGCCACUGGCUGCUCUUUUUACCCUCAGAUUUGUCCCCCUUCAGACACGAGAAAAGGCAUUUGAAGUUACUGAGAAUAAGUUGUUUACUUCCUAAGACCAUUGGUGGAAGCUUCCAGUAGUGUAGGUAGUGUAGACCAUCCCAGCUGGAGACACAAUGGACAUACCUGUGUUUGAGGCAGAAGACAAGAAGAGUCCAGAGGACAUAGAGGUCCAUGGAGAAGGUUAUAAAGUUCAGGUAAACAGCAGGAAUCUUUUUAUGGCCUCUGUUUGUUGACCCCUCUUCUGGUUACACUGAUGGAGAAGAAAAUCAACAUUCCUGCACAUGGAAACACAUUCCUUCUCGGAGUCACAACAUUGCAGUGCUUCGCAAAGGGGCAGCAGCAUGGCUGUCACCAAAGCAGGCACUGUGGACAUGCCAGCAACCAAGUCUGCAUACUCCAGACAGAUAAACCCAGCACUGACAGAAGCAGCCUCCACAGAUAUAGGAGAUAAAGGAGCCAGCAGGGAAUGGUGGACACUUUUGCUAUGUACUCAGAAAGUCUUAACAUGGCUACAGCAAGUGGAACAAGCCUGUCCCUGUCUUCAAAGGGUAGUUCCAGCUUAUCAGCAAAAGCUGCCAGUCUCUCCCCAGAAGAUAGGAUGCAUGUGGUCAUUGCAGGAGCUGAGACUGCCUGCAAGCCUGUGGCAGAAACUGUUAAAGAACCAGUAGGGGGACUCCCUCAUAUCAAUCUUGCAAGGUGAAGCCUAUAUAAGUGAGUGGGAUGGAAGCCAGAGAGUC
rnacentral:lncRNA from 1 species